rnacentral:rRNA from 1 species
UCGAGCGGUAGAGAGAAGCUUGCUUCUCUUGAGAGCGGCGGACGGGUGAGUAAUGCCUAGGAAUCUGCCUGGUAGUGGGGGAUAACGUUCGGAAACGGACGCUAAUACCGCAUACGUCCUACGGGAGAAAGCAGGGGACCUUCGGGCCUUGCGCUAUCAGAUGAGCCUAGGUCGGAUUAGCUAGUUGGUGGGGUAAUGGCUCACCAAGGCGACGAUCCGUAACUGGUCUGAGAGGAUGAUCAGUCACACUGGAACUGAGACACGGUCCAGACUCCUACGGGAGGCAGCAGUGGGGAAUAUUGGACAAUGGGCGAAAGCCUGAUCCAGCCAUGCCGCGUGUGUGAAGAAGGUCUUCGGAUUGUAAAGCACUUUAAGUUGGGAGGAAGGGUUGUAGAUUAAUACUCUGCAAUUUUGACGUUACCGACAGAAUAAGCACCGGCUAACUCUGUGCCAGCAGCCGCGGUAAUACAGAGGGUGCAAGCGUUAAUCGGAAUUACUGGGCGUAAAGCGCGCGUAGGUGGUUUGUUAAGUUGGAUGUGAAAUCCCCGGGCUCAACCUGGGAACUGCAUUCAAAACUGACUGACUAGAGUAUGGUAGAGGGUGGUGGAAUUUCCUGUGUAGCGGUGAAAUGCGUAGAUAUAGGAAGGAACACCAGUGGCGAAGGCGACCACCUGGACUAAUACUGACACUGAGGUGCGAAAGCGUGGGGAGCAAACAGGAUUAGAUACCCUG